UAGGGAAUCUUCGGCAAUGGACGGAAGUCUGACCGAGCAACGCCGCGUGAGUGAAGAAGGUUUUCGGAUCGUAAAGCUCUGUUGUAAGAGAAGAACGAGUGUGAGAGUGGAAAGUUCACACUGUGACGGUAUCUUACCAGAAAGGGACGGCUAACUACGUGCCAGCAGCCGCGGUAAUACGUAGGUCCCGAGCGUUAUCCGGAUUUAUUGGGCGUAAAGCGAGCGCAGGCGGUUAGAUAAGUCUGAAGUUAAAGGCUGUGGCUUAACCAUAGUACGCUUUGGAAACUGUUUAACUUGAGUGCAAGAGGGGAGAGUGGAAUUCCAUGUGUAGCGGUGAAAUGCGUAGAUAUAUGGAGGAACACCGGUGGCGAAAGCGGCUCUCUGGCUUGUAACUGACGCUGAGGCUCGAAAGCGUGGGGAGCAAACAGGAUUAGAUACCCUGGUAGUCCACGCCGUAAACGAUGAGUGCUAGGUGUUGGGUCCUUUCCGGGACUCAGUGCCGCAGCUAACGCAUUAAGCACUCCGCCUGGGGAGUACGACCGCAAGGUUG
rnacentral:rRNA from 1 species